AUUGAACGCUGGCGGCAGGCCUAACACAUGCAAGUCGAGCGGAUGAAGGGAGCUUGCUCCUGGAUUCAGCGGCGGACGGGUGAGUAAUGCCUAGGAAGCUGCCUGGUAGUGGGGGAUAACGUCCGGAAACGGGCGCUAAUACCGCAUACGUCCUGAGGGAGAAAGUGGGGGAUCUUCGGACCUCACGCUAUCAGAUGAGCCUAGGUCGGAUUAGCUAGUUGGUGAGGUAAAGGCCUACCAAGGCGACGAUCCGUAACUGGUCUGAGAGGAUGAUCAGUCACACUGGAACUGAGACACGGUCCAGACUCCUACGGGAGGCAGCAGUGGGGAAUAUUGGACAAUGGGCGAAAGCCUGAUCCAGCAAUGCCGCGUGUGUGAAGAAGGUCUUCGGAUUGUAAAGCACUUUAAGUUGGGAAGAAGGGAUGUAAGUUAAUACCUUGCUGUUUUGACGUUACCAAAAGAAUAAGCACCGGCUAACUUCGUG
rnacentral:rRNA from 1 species